AUUGAACGCUGGCGGCAUGCCUUACACAUGCAAGUCGAACGGUAACAGGUCUUCGGAUGCUGACGAGUGGCGAACGGGUGAGUAAUGCAUCGGAACGUGCCCAGUAGUGGGGGAUAGCCCGGCGAAAGCCGGAUUAAUACCGCAUACGACCUGAGGGUGAAAGGGGGGGAUCGCAAGACCUCUCGCUAUUGGAGCGGCCGAUGUCAGAUUAGCUAGUUGGUGGGGUAAAGGCCUACCAAGGCAACGAUCUGUAGUUGGUCUGAGAGGACGACCAGCCACACUGGGACUGAGACACGGCCCAGACUCCUACGGGAGGCAGCAGUGGGGAAUUUUGGACAAUGGGCGCAAGCCUGAUCCAGCAAUGCCGCGUGCAGGAAGAAGGCCUUCGGGUUGUAAACUGCUUUUGUCAGGGAAGAAAUCUUCUGGGUUAAUACCUCGGGAGGAUGACGGUACCUGAAGAAUAAGCACCGGCUAACUACGUGCCAGCAGCCGCCGUAAGAC
rnacentral:rRNA from 1 species